CCCCAUACCUCCACUCCAACCGACUACUGAAGCAUCCAUCUUAUCGCCGCACUUCCUAUCUUUGCCCAUCUCCACUACUUGACUUUUUUUUUUUUUUUUAUGUCAUUUAUUUUGCUUUGUCUUGUUUUUUGUUCUCAAAAGUGCGAGAGCAGGAACGUUCUACCUGAUUCUAGUACGGCAAGCCGUUGGAGAAUUAUUUGAUAUCCUACUAGUGCGCUGAAUUGUCCCUUUACUCGUACACUGUUUGUCCUCAUCGGUAAGACAAGUCAGCACACGAGUAAAGCAACUAGAGUGCACUUGUUGAAUGACUGUCUUACAGGUUUGUGCACUAGUAGUUUUUCCCCACUAUCGACUGACAUUUUUGAGCACUCAGAGAAUAACGAAAGUAGAACAACAAAGGCGCACGAGUACUGACUGAGCCGCACUAGUCGAACUAUUAAAGCGGCACUAGUUGCAUCGCUAAGGUGGACUCGGAGAGUUACUACGGUGCCUUAGUAGAACAACUAAGAAGCACUAGUAGACAAGCUAAAUUGCACUAGUAAAACGAUUAACCCUUUCGGGGACAGCGGUUACUACAGUGGACAGCUUAUCAUGUUAUCAGGUUACAGGAAAAGGGUUCGAGUGCACUAGUAGAACGAUGAAAGCAACACUAGUAGAAUGACUAAGGCGCGCUAGUAUAAUGAUUAAAGCCCACAAAGAAAACAAUUAAGGCAUACUAGUAUCAUGAUGAAUGUAGCACUAGUAGUAUAAUGAUGAAAGUGCACUAGUAGAAUGACUAAGGCGCACAAGUAAAAUGAUUAAAGCCCACAAAUGGAACAAUUAAGGCACACUAGUAUAAUGAUGAAAGUGUACUAGUAGAAUGACUAAGGCGCACUUGUGGAAUGACUCCAGUGCAACAGUAGAACACUUAAAAAUAUUAAUAUAAUAGUACAACAACCAGAGCCUGCUAGUAGAGCAACUAGGGCUGCCUUAGUUGUGAUGUCCCCCCCCCCCCACUACAACAGCUAGUAGAACAGUCACAUGUUGAUAGUGAGGCAAAACUGCACUAGUAGAAAACUCUGUGCAACCAGUACGUCGAGCGGUAUCCACUAGCUAACAUCGAGCGCUUCACCGGGAGCACACAGACUGUCAACUAGUGUACAGCUGUGCCUCACAAGUUACAUGUAGUUGUUCUACUAGUGCGGCAAAUUGUCGAGUAUUACCAAUUGUCUUUACGAGAGAGGACAGAGAGGGUGGUGGUACCCAGACAAAUCGGCACACUAGUAGGCUAUUGACUAAAUGCUGAAACGGCUUUCCACGGAACGCGAGUAUGCAUCCAAAACAACAAGAAGGGAUAUUAUUUUAUUUUUUUAUUUUUUGGGUCUCGCCGCGGAUUUUGUUUGUCUUUUUGUGUUUGUGAAUGUGGCGUCUUGUCGCGCGGACGGCGCUUCAGGAAUGUGACAAUGACGGCUUGUCGAGAGGGAGGACGGGGGUUGGCCCGGCCGUCCAUCCGAGUCCUAAUCAUUAAAUCGAAUCAAUCCCAAAAUGCGUCCGCCUCCUGCUGUCUGCGUCUUCUCGGCGCCUAAAAGGAGUCACGCGAUUGGCCGGUUUUCACAAACAACACUUUUGUGCUCCGUUCACGUGGCGAAUGCUAAAGAAAAAUGGAAAGUUACACUAGACAACAACAAAUUGGAAUCAGAGAUGUCUUCAUGUGUCCCGAAACGCAUUUCUGACUCUGAUUUCAAGAAUGUGUUUACUUUUUUUCUAGCACAUCAGGAUACGGAUUUUACCAUACCUUGUCAUUUCUAGCCAUGACGUUUCCAAAAAAAAACAAAAAACCUGUUGCUGAACCUAAACUAAUAUUAUGAUAUUCCAUUAUAUUAUUAUUAUUAUUAUUAUUAUGAGGGAAACCUGAUGUGCUCGACGAGAAAUAAAACAAAGGCAUAUUCAGAAUCAGUGCCCAAAAUUAAUCUUUAAAAACUUAACUGAUAUCUGAUUAAAAAAAAAAA